GUGCCAGCAGCCGCGGUAAUACGUAGGGUGCGAGCGUUGUCCGGAAUUACUGGGCGUAAAGGGCUCGUAGGUGGUUUGUCGCGUCGUUUGUGUAAGCCCGCAGCUUAACUGCGGGACUGCAGGCGAUACGGGCAUAACUUGAGUGCUGUAGGGGAGACUGGAAUUCCUGGUGUAGCGGUGGAAUGCGCAGAUAUCAGGAGGAACACCGAUGGCGAAGGCAGGUCUCUGGGCAGUAACUGACGCUGAGGAGCGAAAGCAUGGGUAGCGAACAGGAUUAGAUACCCUGGUAGUCCAUGCCGUAAACGGUGGGCGCUAGGUGUGAGUCCCUUCCACGGGGUUCGUGCCGUAGCUAACGCAUUAAGCGCCCCGCCUGGGGAGUACGGCCGCAAGGCUAAAACUCAAAGGAAUUGACGGGGGCCCGCACAAGCGGCGGAGCAUGUGGAUUAAUUCGAUGCAACGCGAAGAACCUUACCUGGGCUUGACAUACACCAGAUCGCUGCAGAGAUGUAGUUUCCCUUGUGGUUGGUGUACAGGUGGUGCAUGGUUGUCGUCAGCUCGUGUCGUGAGAUGUUGGGUUAAGUCCCGCAACGAGCGCAACCCUUGUCUUAUGUUGCCAGCACGUUAUGGUGGGGACUCGUGAGAGACUGCCGGGGUUAACUCGGAGGAAGGUGGGGAUGACGUCAAAUCAUCAUGCCCCUUAUGUCCAGGGCUUCACACAUGCUACAAUGGUCGGUACAACGCGUCUGCGAGCCUGUGAGGGUGAGCUAAUCGCUGUAAAGCCGGUCGCAGUUCGGAUUGGGGUCUGCAACUCGACCCCAUGAAGUCGGAGUCGCUAGUAAUCGCAGAUCAGCAACGCUGCGGUGAAUACGUUCCCGGGCCUUGUACACACCGCCCGUCACGUCAUGAAAGUUGGUAACACCCGAAGCCAGUGGCCUGUUAAAGGGAGCUGUCGAAGGUGGGAUCGGCGAUUGGGACGAAGUCGUAACAAGGUA
rnacentral:rRNA from 1 species